rnacentral:sRNA from 1 species
GCUGCAUGCCCUCCGUGGGCGUUUCCUCCCUAGACUUCAAGGGCAGCGCUUCAUGCGCGGCCCUUUUUUCUUUUCGGG